rnacentral:lncRNA from 1 species
UGUACUUGUAGACGGUUUCAAUUAGAACAUUUACCUUGUGAACAUGCAGUAGCUGCGACGAAUAAGAGUGGCUAUUCAAUUUACUUGUUCUGCUCUCUGUAUUAUAGUUAGCACUAAUUCAUCAUACGAAAUAUUAUAAAUUAGCAUUAAAGAUAUACAUACAUCAUUUUCACGUGUAUUAGGAGAGACUCUCUCCCUUUGAGUCUGUGGUAGAUCUAGAUCGUCAUCUAGUAAUGCAUCAUCAACAUUUGGGUAUCCUCCGUUCUCAUAGAGAUAAACAUCCAAGAUCGGAUAUUCUUUUCUAGAUCCGUGAACAAAUAAUUUCACAUAUUGUUGUUCAGUCUCAUCGGGAGAACCUGUCAAUGAGCAAUGGACUUGUAGCUGAAUAAUUGACAAAGAAUCCUUUUAGCGAUAUUUGAGGUAACGUGCAAAAGUAAUUACAAUAUAGAAGAUAUACUCACUUGUGGGGUCAUCUAAGACUUCAGCAAUAUCAUGAGAAUUAGGAGUAAGUGUUGAUUUCCA